GAUUGGCUCAGGAUGAACGCUAGCUACAGGCUUAACACAUGCAAGUCGAGGGGAAACGACAUCGAAAGCUUGCUUUUGAUGGGCGUCGACCGGCGCACGGGUGAGUAACGCGUAUCCAACCUGCCUACCACUUGGGGAUAACCUUGCGAAAGUAAGACUAAUACCCAAUGACAUCCCACGAAGACAUCUGAAUGGGAUUAAAGAUUUAUCGGUGAUGGAUGGGGAUGCGUCUGAUUAGCUUG
rnacentral:rRNA from 1 species